ensembl:lncRNA
UUCCUUUGCUUUAGGAGACAGAUUCAAAAACAUACUGACAGAUUUCUUUUCAUAGGUGGUAACAAUUUCACCAAAAAAAAAAAUAUUUACCAGAUAUCUACCAAAAAAUAAUAAAUGUAUGUUAAAUUGUGUUUAGCAAUUAUAAAGUGGUUGAUACAAUAUUGUAUGAUUUCCUGAGUCAAAAUAAGCAUGGUAUUUUAAAGCAUGGUGUUUGAAAGGUACUUACUUACUUUGAGUAUCUGGGACUAUUUGAGGCAAAGAUAUGCCCACCAGCAUUUCAUAUGAAAAAGAGAAACAAUUCAAACUGUAAAGCUGAAGCAGAGCCAAAAUGAGCAAGAAAAGGAGGAAAGACUACAUGGAGGAGGGAAAACACCAGAGAAAAGAUCUGCUUUGUGAAGAAAGUGUCUCACAUGGUUCUAAUCCAGAAAUCAGAAUCAUCAGCCAGAUUAACAGAUGCUCCAUGAGCUUUCUUCAAAUACCAGAGCAAACCCAAGACGAUGGAAGGAUGUCACUCUUCUUUCUACAGAAGGAAAACUGAGGCUUAUAAUUACUAGGUGACUUGGCAAAGGUCACAUGGCUGGUAAACUACAGUUUAGCCUUUAAACCCAGGUCUCUCCAACCUGACUAAGUUGCUUCAACUGGUUGUUUUCAG